GUAGUGUGAAUUGCAGAAUUCAGUGAAUCAUCGAAUUUUUGAACGCAUAUUGCGCCCCUUGGUAUUCCAUGGGGCAUGCCUGUUCGAGCGUCA
rnacentral:rRNA from 1 species